CCUUCAAUGACAACUUGUAAAUUCAUUCUCCCACAAUCUUGUUUAGAUUUAGACCAUACUGUGGGGUAUUUUUCUUUAAGAUAGGUUACAAAAUCAUCAUCUUCUUGUAUAGAAGGUGACACUUCACCCUGCUUUACAGCCAUGACAUGACUAUACCAUCCUAAAUCAUUAGGUCUAACCACUCCACCUGAUUUGCUCUCACCUGGAGCUUGCCACAAAACCAAAUUCAAUAAAUCCACAUACAACUUUUUUCCAUUGAUAACAUCCAUCCCCAAAAUAGUACAGUGGGAAGAGAGGUCGACCCAUAAGUCACAAUUUAUUUUACCUCCUUCAAAUUCAAUGUCAUUAUCAGUGGAUAGAGUUGCAUGGGCAUGUGCUCCAUUAAAACUUAGAAGGGAAAUUGUUGGUGCUUCAAUUUUUAAAGGCAA